rnacentral:lncRNA from 1 species
GGUCUCUAUUUUUGGUCCAGAACUGAUACGGUACAAUCCUGAAAGGUCAAUAUCAAACCCUCCCAGCAGACUUGAUUUUGACAUAUUCACUAGCAUAGCAUACAUCAUUAUGAGAUUUUAUUAUUCUCGUCCCCACGCUUAUUUUGUGCUCCCAAAUCCGUCAAAUUUCGGCUGGGCGGUCAGGCUCAUGAUAGAUGGACAGACGGUGCCAUCCAAUUCUGGGUUGGUCAGCCUUCUCCGUACAGAAGCUUCUAGAUUCACCUACCCC